CUCUCACGCAGCAGCCCUCGAAGAAUGUGCAUCUGUGCAGAUCUAUGCAGAUCUGCGCUAUAAGAACACGACCUGAGGCUCCACCCAGAAAAUAGUAGCGCGAAAAUUAGUAAAACAAACCUGAGGGAGCAGCAAAAAAGUAAAUAUUAGCCGCCCUGUACGUGAAGACUGGAGUUCAGUUUGAUUAUCUUUCAAACACUCAACUGAUUAUACAAGAUGUCCAAGAAGAAAGGUUUGAGCUUGGAGGAGAAACGGACUCGCAUGAUGGAGAUAUUUUUUGAGACCAAGGAUGUGUUCCAGCUAAAAGAUAUUGAAAAGAUUGCCCCGAAGACUAAAGGAAUAACGCCCAUGUCUGUGAAGGAGGUCCUGCAGAGUCUAGUGGAUGACAGUAUGGUAGAUUCCGAGAGGGUAGGCACGUCCAAUUACUUCUGGGCUUUCCCAAGCAAAGCUCUUCAUGCAAGGAAGUGUAAACUUGAAGAAUUGGAAAAGCAGCAUGCAGAGGGAAGUCUGAGGAAAACAGUCCUGCAGCAGGGUAUUGAAAAGGCAAAAGUCGGUCGGCAAGAUACAGAAGACCGGGCAGCCUUGCUGAAGGAACUUCAGGUGCUAAGGGAACAACGGAACCAGCUGAGAGCAGAGGUGGACAAAUACAGGGAAUGUGACCCAGAGGUGGUGGAAGAAAUUCGUACUGAAUAAACUGUCUGGGGGGCCCAAUGUGCCCCUGGGAUCUUGUAUUGGACACCCCUGGUCUAAACAUUUCAGGUUACAAGGGCAAUCAAACAAAAUUGCAAAGGAUGCAGUCAACAGGUGGACAGAUAAUGUUUUUUCCAUCAGGGGUUGGGCCAAGAGGAAAUUUGGCUUUGAGGAAAGUCGAAUUGAUAAAACGUUUGGAAUACCGGAGGAUUUUGACUACAUUGAUUAAAGUUUUUGAUUUUUGAUUACAUUGA